rnacentral:tRNA from 1 species
CGGGGCGUAGCUCAGUUGGUAGAGCGCGUGGUUUGGGACCAUGAGGUCGCAAGUUCGAGUCCUGUCGCCCCGA